CCAAUGGCCCUCUUUAGGGCCACAAAUGCUGUCGAGCGCAUAGCUU
rfam:Angiostrongylus costaricensis strain Costa Rica genome assembly, scaffold: ACOC_scaffold0000674